UACGUAGGGCGCAAGCGUUGUCCGGAAUUAUUGGGCGUAAAGAGCUCGUAGGCGGUCUGUUGCGUCCGCUGUGAAAACUCGGGGCUUAACCCCGAGCCUGCAGUGGAUACGGGCAGACUAGAGGUAGGUAGGGGAGAAUGGAAUUCCCGGUGUAGCGGUGAAAUGCGCAGAUAUCGGGAGGAACACCGGUGGCGAAGGCGGUUCUCUGGGCCUUACCUGACGCUGGGGAGCGAAAGCGUGGGGAGCGAACAGG
rnacentral:rRNA from 1 species